rnacentral:rRNA from 1 species
UACGUAGGAGGCGAGCGUUGUCCGGAAUCACUGGGCGUAAAGCGCGUGUAGGCGGAUGACUAAGUUUGCUGUGAAAGCGCCUGGCUUAACUGGGCGAGGUCGGCGAAAACUAGUCGUCUGGAGGCCGGUAGAGGGGGGUGGAAUUCCGGGUGUAGUGGUGAAAUGCGUAGAGAUCCGGAGGAACACCUGUGGCGAAAGCGGCGCACUGGACCACAUCUGACGCUGAGGCGCGAAAGCUAGGGGAGCAAACAGG